rnacentral:rRNA from 1 species
UACGUAGGGGGCAAGCGUUGUCCGGAAUUAUUGGGCGUAAAGAGCUCGUAGGCGGUUUGUCGCGUCGAAUGUGAAAUCCCGGGGCUCAACCCCGGGUCUGCAUUCGAUACGGGCAGACUAGAGUUCGGUAGGGGAGUCUGGAAUUCCUGGUGUAGCGGUGAAAUGCGCAGAUAUCAGGAGGAACACCGGUGGCGAAGGCGGGACUCUGGGCCGAUACUGACGCUGAGGAGCGAAAGCGUGGGGAGCGAACAGG